UACGUAGGGUGCAAGCGUUAAUCGGAAUUACUGGGCGUAAAGCGUGCGCAGGCGGUUAUGUAAGACAGAUGUGAAAUGCCCGGGCUUAACCUGGGAACUGCAUUUGUGACUGCAUGGCUAGAGUGUGUCAGAGGGGGGUAGAAUUCCACGUGUAGCAGUGAAAUGCGUAGAUAUGUGGAGGAAUACCGAUGGCGAAGGCAGCCCCCUGGGAUAACGACUGACGCUCAUGCACGAAAAGCGUGGGGAGCAAACAGG
rnacentral:rRNA from 1 species